UACAGAGGUGGCAAGCGUUGUUCGGAUUUAUUGGGCGUAAAGGGUCUGUAGGCGGCCCGGAAAGUCGGAUGUGAAAUCCCACAGCUUAACUGUGGAACUGCAUUCGAAACUUCCGGACUAGAGUGUGAGAGGGGUAAAGGGAAUUCCCGGUGUAAGGGUGAAAUCUGCAGAGAUCGGGAGGAACACCAGUCGCGAAGGCGCUUUACUGGCUCACUACUGACGCUGAGGGACGAAAGCUAGGGGAGCAAACGGG
rnacentral:rRNA from 1 species